GAUUUCUGGUACGGUGCGCCUGGUCCGCCGCCGUUUUAGGUGUGUGAGUACCGGUGCGCGCCUACCAUCCUUCUGGGGAGCGUAUCUACCCUUCACUGGGCUGGGUGCGCGACCUAGAUCGUUUACUUUGAAAAAAUUAGAGUGUUUAAAGCAGGCUAUUUGCUCUGAAUACAUUAGCAUGGAAUAAUAAGAUAGGACUUUGGUUCUAUUUUGUUGGUUUCUAGGACUGAAGUAAUGAUUGAUAGGGACAGUUGGGGGUGCUAGUAUUCAGCGGCCAGAGGUGAAAUUCUUGGAUUCGCUGAAGACUAACUUAUGCGAAAGCAUU
rnacentral:rRNA from 3 species